AUACGUAGGUGACAAGCGUUAUCCGGAUUUACUGGGCGUAAAGGGCGUGUAGGCGGUCUUGCAAGUCAGAAGUGAAAUUCCUGAGCUCAACUCGGGCGCUGCUUCUGAAACUGCAGGACUUGAGUGCUGGAGGGGAUAGCGGAAUUCCUGGUGUAGCGGUGAAAUGCGUAGAUAUCAGGAGGAACACCGGUGGCGAAGGCGGCUUACUGGGCUUUUACUGACGCUGAGGCUCGAAAGCGUGGGGAGCAAACAGGAUUAGAUACCCUGGUAGUCCACACUGUAAACGAUGAAUGCUAGGUGUAAGAGGUAUCGACCCCUUUUGUGCCGGAGUCAACACAAUAAGCAUUCCGCCUGGGGAGUACGGCCGCAAGGUUGAAACUCAAAUGAAUUGGCGGGG
rnacentral:rRNA from 1 species